rnacentral:rRNA from 1 species
UGGGGAAUUUUGGACAAUGGGCGAAAGCCUGAUCCAGCAAUGCCGCGUGUGUGAAGAAGGCCUUCGGGUUGUAAAGCACUUUUGUCCGGAAAGAAAUCCUUGGCUCUAAUACAGUCGGGGGAUGACGGUACCGGAAGAAUAAGCACCGGCUAACUACGUGCCAGCAGCCGCGGUAAUACGUAGGGUGCAAGCGUUAAUCGGAAUUACUGGGCGUAAAGCGUGCGCAGGCGGUUUGCUAAGACCGAUGUGAAAUCCCCGGGCUCAACCUGGGAACUGCAUUGGUGACUGGCAGGCUAGAGUAUGGCAGAGGGGGGUAGAAUUCCACGUGUAGCAGUGAAAUGCGUAGAGAUGUGGAGGAAUACCGAUGGCGAAGGCAGCCCCCUGGGCCAAUACUGACGCUCAUGCACGAAAGCGUGGGGAGCAAACAGGAUUAGAUACCCUGGUAGUCCACGCCCUAAACGAUGUCAACUAGUUGUUGGGGAUUCAUUUCCUAGUAACGUAGCUAACGCGUGAAGUUGACCGCCUGGGGAGUACGGUCGCAAGAUUAAAACUCAAAUG